AUCAACCGAGAUUCCCUCAGUAGCGGCGAGCGAACGGGGAUUAGCCCUUAAGCAUCUUGGAAGUUAGUGGAACGGUCCUGGAAAGGCCGGCGAUACAGGGUGAUAGCCCCGUACACGAAAACGACCUUGAUGUGAAAUCGAGUAGGGCGGGACACGUGACAUCCUGUCUGAAUAUGGGGGGACCAUCCUCCAAGGCUAAAUACUCCUGACUGACCGAUAGUGAACCAGUACCGUGAGGGAAAGGC
rnacentral:rRNA from 1 species